UUUGACGUCUAGGCGGAUUGAGAGAUUGACCGCCAACACUGGGACUGAGACACUGCCCAGACUUCUACGGAAGGCUGCAGUCGAGAAUCUUUCGCAAUGGACGAAAGUCUGACGAAGCGACGCCGCGUGUGUGAUGAAGGCUCUAGGGUUGUAAAGCACUUUCGCUUGGGAAUAAGAAAGAUUGGCUAAUAUCCAAUCGAUUUGAGCGUACCAGGUAAAGAAGCACCGGCUAACUCCGUGCCAGCAGCUGCGGUAAUACGGAGGGUGCUAGCGUUAAUCGGAUUUAUUGGGCGUAAAGGGCGUGUAGGCGGAAAGGAAAGUUAGAUGUUAAAUCUUGAGGCUCAACUUCAAGCCGGCAUCUAAUACUAUCUUUCUAGAGGGUAGAUGGAGAAAAGGGAAUUCCACGUGUAGCGGUGAAAUGCGUAGAUAUGUGGAAGAACACUAGUGGCGAAGGCGCUUUUCUAAUUUACACCUGACGCUGAGGCGCGAAAGCAAGGGGAGCAAACAGGAUUAGAUACCCUGGUAGUCCUUGCUGUAAACGAUGCAUACUUGAUGUGGAUAGUCUCAACCCUAUCCGUGUCGUAGCUAACGCGUUAAGUAUGCCGCCUGAGGAGUACACUCGCAAGGGUGAAACUCAAAAGAAUUGACGGGGGCCCGCACAAGCAGUGGAGCAUGUGGUUUAAUUCGAUGCAACGCGAAGAACCUUACCUGGGCUUGACAUGUAUACGAUCGCGGCAGAAAUGUCGUUUUCCGUAAGGACGGAUACACAGGUGCUGCAUGGCUGUCGUCAGCUCGUGCCGUGAGGUGUUGGGUUAAGUCCCGCAACGAGCGCAACCCUUAUCGUUAGUUGCCAGCACUUCGGGUGGGAACUCUAACGAGACUGCCUGGGUUAACCAGGAGGAAGGCGAGGAUGACGUCAAGUCAGCAUGGCCCUUAUGCCCAGGGCUA
rnacentral:rRNA from 1 species